rnacentral:rRNA from 1 species
CUCCUACGGGAGGCAGCAGUCAGUAAUAUUGGUCAAUGGGCGCAAGCCUGAACCAGCCAUCCCGCGUGAAGGAAGACAGCCCUACGGGUUGUAAACUUCUUUUGUACAUGAAGAACGGUUUUUACGUGUAGAGACAUGACGGUAAUGUACGAAUAAGCAUCGGCUAACUCCGUGCCAGCAGCCGCGGUAAUACGGAGGAUGCAAGCGUUAUCCGGAUUUAUUGGGUUUAAAGGGUACGUAGGUGGCCCGAUAAGUCAGUGGUGAAAAACCUGUCGCUCAACGAUAGGCGUGCCAUUGAUACUGUUGGGCUUGAGUACAGAUGAGGUAGGCGGAAUGUGUAGUGUAGCGGUGAAAUGCAUAGAUAUUACACAGAACCCCGAUUGCGAAGGCAGCUUACUAAACUGACACUGACGCUGAGGUACGAAAGCGUGGGUAGCGAACAGGAUUAGAUACCCUGGUAGUCCACGCCGUAAACGAUGCUCACUGGCUGUAUGCGAUACACAGUAUGCGGCCAAGCGAAAGCGCUAAGUGAGCCACCUGGGGAGUACGCCGGCAACGGUGAAACUCAAAGGAAUUGACGGGGGCCCGCACAAGCGGAGGAACAUGUGGUUUAAUUCGAUGAUACGCGAGGAACCUUACCUGGGCUUAAAUGGGGACUGACGGAUUUGGAAACAGAUCUUUCUUCGGACAGUCUUCAAGGUGCUGCAUGGUUGUCGUCAGCUCGUGCCGUGAGGUGUCGGGUUAAGUCCCAUAACGAGCGCAACCCUUACCGUUAGUUACCAUCAGGUUAAGCUGGGGACUCUAACGGGACUGCCACCGUAAGGUGAGAAGAAGGUGGGGAUGACGUCAAAUCAGCACGGCCCUUAUGUCCAGGGCUACACACGUGUUACAAUGGCCGGUACAAAGGGCAGCUACUCCGCGAGGAGAUGCUAAUCUUAAAAAGCCGGUCUCAGUUCGGAUCGAAGUCUGCAACCCGACUUCGUGAAGCUGGAUUCGCUAGUAAUCGCGCAUCAGCCAUGGCGCGAUGAAUACGUUCCCGGGCCUUGUACACACCGCCCGU